CCUACGGGAGGCAGCAGUGAGGAAUAUUGGUCAAUGGACGAGAGUCUGAACCAGCCAAGUAGCGUGAAGGAUGACUGCCCUAUGGGUUGUAAACUUCUUUUAUAUGGGAAUAAAAUGUUCCACGUGUGGGAUUUUGUAUGUACCAUAUGAAUAAGGAUCGGCUAACUCCGUGCCAGCAGCCGCGGUAAUACGGAGGAUCCGAGCGUUAUCCGGAUUUAUUGGGUUUAAAGGGAGCGUAGGUGGAUUGUUAAGUCAGUUGUGAAAGUUUGCGGCUCAACCGUAAAAUUGCAGUUGAAACUGGCAGUCUUGAGUACAGUAGAGGUGGGCGGAAUUCGUGGUGUAGCGGUGAAAUGCUUAGAUAUCACGAAGAACUCCGAUUGCGAAGGCAGCUCACUGGACUGCAACUGACACUGAUGCUCGAAAGCGCGGGUAUCGAACAGGAUUAGAUACCCUAGUAGUC
rnacentral:rRNA from 1 species